AUACGGAGGGUGCAAGCGUUAUUCGGAAUCACUGGGCGUAAAGGGUGCGUAGGCGGUUUGAUAAGUCUGAUGUGAAAUCCUAUGGCUCAACCAUAGAACUGCAUUGGAAACUGUCAGACUAGAAUACUGAAGGGGCAGAUGGAAUUAGUGGUGUAGGGGUCAAAUCCGUAGAUAUCACUAGGACUACCGAAAGCGAAAGCGAUCUGCUGGGAAGUUAUUGACGCUGAGGCACGAAAGCGUGGGGAGCAAACGGGAUUAGAAACCCUAGUAGUCC
rnacentral:rRNA from 1 species